rnacentral:rRNA from 1 species
UGCUACCACUAAAAUUGCCAAUGCUCUAAGUGAUGCGCUCGCGCAGGAUUAGGUUGUUGGGUUGGUAAAAGCAGCCCAAGCCCAUGAUCCUUAACCUACCUGAGAGGGAGGUAGGUCACAGUGGCACUGAGACAAGGGCCACAGUUCAUACGAAUUCAGCAGUGGGGAAUUUUUGACAAUAGGCGUAAGCCUGAUCGAGCCGGCUCGCGAAAGU